rnacentral:rRNA from 1 species
AGAUUGAACGCUGGCGGCAGGCCUAACACAUGCAAGUCGAGCGGCAGCACGGGUACUUGUACCUGGUGGCGAGCGGCGGACGGGUGAGUAAUGCCUAGGAAUCUGCCUGGUAGUGGGGGAUAACGCUCGGAAACGGACGCUAAUACCGCAUACGUCCUACGGGAGAAAGCGGGGGACCUUCGGGCCUCGCGCCAUUAGAUGAGCCUAGGUCGGAUUAGCUAGUUGGUGAGGUAAUGGCUCACCAAGGCGACGAUCCGUAACUGGUCUGAGAGGAUGAUCAGUCACACUGGAACUGAGACACGGUCCAGACUCCUACGGGAGCAGCAGUGGGAAUAUUGGACAAGUGGGACGAAAGCCUGAUCCAGCCAU